rnacentral:lncRNA from 1 species
GUUUGGGUUCUGGUCUUGUUCUACUCUGGGUGUCUCUCAGCUGUGACAGCAGAAGUUCAUUUUUUCUGUCAUUGACCCACAAAACCCAGGGCAGUUUCCUGGAUUGUUUUUCCUAUCAUUCCUCCAGUAUUUUUAAAGGAACCAGAUUAUGGGAAGCUGGCACCUAGUCUGUGCUCAGUCCAUCCUGGGCCUUUGUGGUCACUCUCAGCUGGGUCAGUUUUACUACUCCUUAGUCCUCGUCCAUUCAGUUGAACCUCAUCCCAACAGGACCUCUGAUGACAGGCAGCAUCACCAGGGGUGGUCCUGCUCCAGGACCUUGGCCAGGGAGGGCAUCAGGCCACUGGGUUAACAUAGCACGAGACCUGAGUCUGACCUUCUGCUCCCAUCUUUUUUUGUUUCUCACUUUUCACAAAGAAUUAUCCCUGUUCUCGUUAGUAAGUUUGGGUUCUGGUCUUGUUCUACUCUGGGUGUCUCUCAGCUGUGACAGCAGAAGUUCAUUUUUUCUGUCAUUGACCCACAAAACCCAGGGCAGUUUCCUGGAUUGUUUUUCCUAUCAUUCCUCCAGUAUUUUUAAAGGAACCAGAUUAUGGGAACAGCAGAGAGGAAGGAUCUCAUGAGUUCUCAUCUCAGAUAAAUUCCUCUUAGGCUUCCAUCUUCUCUAACUGAGCAGUGUCACUGUCCUUAAUACUCAUCCCAGAACUUGCUCCAUUACAGAUUCCUGGAUUGAUAAAACAGAGUCUAACAGAGGUUUAUGUUUAUUUGGAAAAUAUGACCCAUUAGUUAAGGAUCAUGAAGAUCAAAAUGUCUUUAGCAGCUGUGGAGUGCAGGAGGGCUGGUGUGGAGGGAUGAAGGGCAGCAUUUGUGAGAAAAGCCCAAAUGGCCCCGAUCUCAGUGUGAGAAACCCUUGACUGCAGAUGCCACAGCAGCAUUUGAUCUGAAAUUCCUUUAAUAAAGAAGGAGGAGUUGACACUGAUCAUUCA